rnacentral:lncRNA from 1 species
AUUUGUUAGAAGAGGAAGGUGCUUGGGCAAAUCCCCUUUCAGCUUUGCACAACACUCAAUGUGGAGCUCAUUGAGACAAGGGAACUCCCCCCCUUCGACUCCAAAACAAUCCCAUUCCUCCCACUCUGACAUCUCCUUGAACACCAGAGUCUGCAGGCUUCCAAAUGGCUUAAAUGAAGAAGGCCCAUUCCCAUAAAACUCCUGCCCCACCUUUCGCAGAACAUCAUUCUUCACAAUGGACAGGUUCUGGAGAGACCGUAGCUGUCCAAGCGGUGGCAAGGAUGCACAAUUUUUACAGUUAGAGAGUUGUAGACUCACCAUGUUGAUGAAUGAAGGGUCCCCUAACCAGCUUGGAAAUUUCGCACCAUAGUAGCAUCCAAUGGAGAGUUCUUUCAGGUUGUCAUGAGGCUGCAGCUUUUCCAGCACACUUGCUGCAUCUUGUGAAUCACCGGCAAUUGCAUUAUCAUCUUCCCAAUUCAAUUCUAACUUGUCAAGGCACUCCUUACGCUUCAUAUUACUCUCCAAGGCAUCUCUAGCAUCCACCACAUUUUGCAACUUGAAAAUGGCAAGUGUACCACUAAGGUGUGAAAGGUCCCUCAAUUCCCCAACUCUUGAUCCUGUAUGCUUACUGACAACAAAAGUAGUCAACGUUCGAAGAUUUUUCAUUCUACUCAUUUCCAUUGGCAUCCUUUCUAGCUUAGUCCCAUCGAUUUUGAGAUGACGUAAGUUGAUUAGUCUUCCCAUUUUUGUCGGCAAUUCAACAAGAUAUUCACACCAUGAUAACAUCAAAGUUUGCAAGUUGAAAAGAGUUGUUAUUGAUUUAGGUAAUGUUCUAACUAAAUUAUGAGAGAGGUCCAAAUAGCGUAGGUGUUUCAAAUUUCCAAUCGAGUGAGGCAAGUCUUUGAUGCCAUAGUAAGUCAAAGACAAAACCCGCAAACACAUCAAUGUUGACAACAAACAAUGUGAGACCUCCUUGCUUAAAUAGAAAUUAGGAAUACCAUGAGUACCAAGAGACUGUGGUAGGAAGGUCUGUAGAUUAUGGUCGUCAAGAAAUGAUUUAAAUUUCUUGGAGGCUAUGCCUUGUUGCCAACUAUAUGAAAAAUGUCGAAUCUCCUUAGAAAUUUUAUUUUGCUUUUCAUCCUCCAACCUACAACAAAAUCUUCCUGAUAUAAAUUGUGCUAAAUCAUGGAUCAGAUCAUGCAUCACAAAUACAGAUUCAUUGUAAUAAUAUCGUUGAAAGAACGACCUUGACAAUAGAUUAUUGAAACAUAUGUUACCAAACUCUUCUACAGUUCCCUCUCUUUUAGAGCUAUCUAAGAAGCCUUCCGCCAUCCAUAACAAUACUAACUUCUCUUUUUCAAACACAUAAUCCUUAGGGAAUAUGGAACAAUACGUAAAACAUCGCUUCAAUUUUGGAGGGAGAUAAUAGUAACUCAAGUUCAAAGCAGGAAGAAUAUUACUUUGGUCAUUUGGUAAAUCCCAUAUUUCGUUGUUUAAUACGUCAUUCCAAGCAGUGCUAUCUUGUUUAGAGCGUAAUAAACCUGCAAGAGUCUUCGCUGCCAAAGGUAAGCCUUUGCAUUUUCUUGCUAUCUUCCUACCAAUUGAUUCCAAGUUUUGGCAUACAUCCGAAUUUAGAUUUUUGAAGGCUUGUUGUGCAAACAAUAACCAACAUUGUUCAUCAGUUAGUUGAUGAAGCUGAUAAGAAGAAGCCGUUGUUCGCAUAAUUGAUGCCACAUUUUCAUUGCGAGUUGUUACUAAGACCACGCUGCCUCGUGCUCCGACAUUAAAAGGAGCUUGUAGGACAUCCCAAUGGUUGGGAUUCUCGUUCCAUACGUCAUCUAGAACAAGGAAAAAUCUUUUCUCCUUCAUUUCAUUUUUCAAUUUUUCUUGAAGCAAUUCCAAGGUUUUAAAUUCACAUGGACGUUUCGUGAUGGACUCAAGAAUUGCUUUUGUUAUUCCUACAACAUCAAAAUCAUCAGAAACACAAACCCAAACUCUCAUAUCAAAACGGUUCUCCACCCUGCCAUCAUUGUAGAUGAUCUGAGCGAGGGUUGUCUUUCCAAUCCCGCCCAUGCCUACCAUGGAAAUGACAGAUACUCUAUCGCAUUUGGUUGCUUCAUCUGACAGCAUCAAUUCAAUGAUCUUCUCCUUAUCAGCAUCCCUACCAUGAAUACGAGACUCAUCUACUAAAGAAGUAGUCUGUAACCUUUCUUCAAUUCCAAACGACACCCCUCGAACACCCUCCUUUAGAUGAAGGUCAACUCUCCGUUUGGCAAUUGCAUCUAACUCCCUUGUGAUUUUGUUUAUUUUUUCACCCAUCUUUUUGUUAAAGGACAUAACUCUAGGAUCCAAAGCACCACAAGUUGGGAUGAGCUUGCGUACCUUACUUGUGCAGGCUUGAGGGCCUUCUGUCAAACUCCUUUGCUUGGCUUCAAUAUCAAACUCAUCUAUCACAUCUUCAAUGUCAUAAGCCAAAGAUUUGAGGUCAUCCAGCCAAACUUUCACUGCUUUCUCCCUGAUCUGCUUGUUCUCAGCAUCACACAGCACUGCUUCAAUAUGGGUCAACGUCUUCCUCCAUUCUUCGAGUGUUCUGUCAAUUUUUUUCCGACGAGCGUAUUCUAACAGCGGGGAGGCGAUCAACUUAUCAAUCAACACACCAAGGAAGGAAGAUCCAAUUGCCUCAGCCACAAACAUACUUUCAGUAAAUUGGAGAGAGCAAAAGAGAUAGAAGGGAAAGUUUCCACAGAUUGUAAGAUUGUUGUUGUAGUGAUUUAAUACAUUUAAUUACACAAUUCCUGCAAUUCCUCUUUUAUUAAUAGUUUAAUAGUGGACCACAGGCGGCCACAUUAAGAAUCUUGUCAGCCACCAUUACUUUUAAAAAGAGGAAAAACAUACAGACUGCUUGAAAAAAAGAAAUUAAAAUUAUUUAAAAUUGGUUAUUUGGAAAAAAGUUUGUUGACAUCCAACUCAUCUCACCCAAUUUCAACUAAAAUUUAUUAGUCAAUGACUCACACCAAUAAAUAUAUUAAAGCCCAUGUUAAAUCUUACUUUCUUAAUUUAUUAGUAGACUUUCAGACUUUCUUAAUUUAUUAGUCAAUGACACGUAUGCCUUAUUUAAAAUAAAAGAAAAUGUUCAUUGACCUCUACUAAAGAAAAAAAGCAUGCUCAUCACUUUUGGAGAUGAUACUUCUUACCCAGUUAUUUGAGUAGAUAAAUAAUGAAGUUGUGAAGGUGGAAAUUAAAAAUGAGCCCAUAGUUUUCACAUUGCAAUUCAUCCUUACAUCUGAGUUACCAAAUUUUUACUUGUGUCCUUGGCCCUUCACCCACAGAGAAAUUGGACUUUAGUAGACAAUGAAUAAAAAACUCUAGAAGUAAUUAAAUAAAAAAACACAAAAUUGAUGUGGAAAACCCUCCAAUAAUGAAGGGAAAAACCACAGGACAAGCUGAUAAAUAAUUCACUACAGCAAAAUAUAGGAAUUACAAUAUUAAUUCUCACGAGUUCUUUAAAAACAAAAAUAAAUAAAUAAAUAACAGUAAAAAACUUGAGAUAUAAUAAUUUUUGAGAAAAUACAAAUAUUUAAACUUGCAAAUAGGAGAAACAAAAUAAUGCAAAAGCUUGGGCUGCAAUUGUCCAGAAAGAACAAGCUUCAAAUUUCUUUCUUUGAUUUUCCUUGGGGGAUCACAAUCAUGAAAGCUCAGCACUGACAUCCUCUGAGUUGGACUCUGUUUGAAGAGCCAUAGGUCCUAGAAUUCCCCUGUUUUUUAUGCCAUCAACUGGUAAAGAAGUCAUCAUAUGGCACAUGCUGAAGCCCAUCCACUUUAGAUAUGGCCAUGAAUCUUCAACCACCAGUAAACCAUACUUCAUGACUCCAUUCAAAUUAUAACUAGGAAGUAAUUGUGUUGACGGUGGAAACACAAUGGAAUGAAAAUUACAGCCUACACAGUAGAAAAAACCUAUCAAGUUUACUCAACAAUCACAAAGGAAAACCAUCAAUUGUGAUUGAGGCCAAUACCGUACCACAAUAUGAAUAGGCCAAACUUCCUGCUACUGCUCUAAACACCCCUCUCUUAGAUUUAUAAACUUUCAGCAAAAAGCUUGCUUGAUGUGUAUGGACCAUUCCUACUCGAGACACAUGUGUCUUAAGCAGUCUUGAACCAAAACUGAUGCCAUGAUGGGGCCAAACCCUCUUUUAGAAAUUGCAAGAUAACUGAACAAUCGAGAAUCGACCUUGACAAUGAUUCAACAAAUGGGGAAGAAGAAGGUAAUCAAAAUAGUAAAAAUUUAAAAAUAAAAAGUAGAAAAUGGGAAAACCUUGAGUAGUGCAUAUUUCGAUUUAGAACCAUUUGUAUUAAGAGGUUGCACUUAUAACUUAUGGGUUUUGAAAUAAAACUUUUUCCAUUUUCUUUCUACAUAUAUCGAAAACUACAAUAGAAUCAAGUAGAAACUGGGUUUUAGGAUAAUAAGAGUUUUGAUGUGAAUGGCACUAUGGGAGUACCUUGAUAGUGGGAUGAUCUCUGCUUCCAUUUAUGUGAUUGGAAAAUAAAAUUCAAUGUAAAAUUGAUUCAGAUGUGAAAAGCCUAUUGAUGCAUUUUCCACCAUCUUUGUCCUUUAAAGAUCAUGCAACUAUGACCAACCUUUUCAUGCUUAUAUAAUUUGUUUGUUAUUAAUUAUGAAAGACUUGUUUUGAUAAAUUUUAAGGGCCACCUGACUUGUUCAAUAAAACUCAACCCAACAACAAAAACAUAUGAGUUCGAAUGGUUUGGUAAGUGUCCCAAAUUCCUAAUUAAUAUAAAUUUCUUUUUGUAAAAAAUAUUAUGUAUAAUAUUUCUUUAAUUAAUAUAUCAUUGUAAUAUUAGAUUUUUUUAUAGAAUAAAAAAAGUUAUUAGGAAUAUCUUUAUAAAUAUUCUAGGUCAUAAGGGGAAAAAGUUAUGAAGUGGAGAUGAGUUUGUAGCUAAGGAGUAUACGAAGUGGAUAGAAAUACGAGGAAGAAUGAGAGAUAUCUGGUAGAGCGAGGAGACUUGUGGUUUAGGGUGUGGAUACAAGGAUUGGAGAAACAUGGGAUGUUUCGAGAACCCAAUAUUUGUAUCCGGUUCUGUCCUUUAUAAUAUUCUCUAUUAUAUAAUGAAAAAAAUUCUUUUAUCCAUGGAUGUAGGCAUGACUAGCCGAACUAUGUUUAUAGUGAGAUGAGAAAUACCUAUGAAUUAACUUACCAAUUCAUAUUAUAACAAAAGACUUGUCAAUUGAACUGAUCUGCCAAUUUUCCCUUCAAUAAAAUAAAAUGAUAAUAUUGUCAUUGUCGUUACAAGCAUCAUCCUCAUCAUUCUCAUCACGAUUCAUUAUUAUCUUAGUCUUCAUUUACAUAUAUUACUUGCUUUCUAUUUUUAAAAUAAAAAAUAGUAGUAACUUUUAUAUAAAAUACAAAACUCUUAAAGACUUACAUAGAAAAAGUAGCAGUUUUAAACUUAUUUUAAAAAGUUUUGGUACUUUUUUAAAAGUGAUUUUUAGAGACAUAUGAUUACUUUUAUAUAAAGCUUUUGAUCUUAAAAAUAGAAAAAUGGGAAGUGUAUGCAACCCUUGGAUUCUUGUAAAUGAAAACAUAGUCCUCACAAAGUGGAUCUAGCAGUAACAAUGUAAUUCAACCUAUCUAAAAGAAAUAACAAUAAGAAUUAAAUGAAGAAAUAAAUUAUGAAAGGAAAUGGAUAAAUAAUGUUAGAUUCAUGAGUGGCAAGAAUAUGAUCUACAUAUCAGAAAGAUUAAUAGAGAAGGCAACUACAAAAUCUGAUUAAAAAAAAAAAAGAGUUUGCCCUCAUCUAGAGCCAUCAGUAGUAUGUGAGUACUUUUUAAAGUUAAAAAAUGAUAAUAGAAUUAUAGCUUAUAGUGAAAUAGUAAAAAAUAGAUGUGUAGACCCCCAUAUGGGGCUCGUUUUUUUUUUUUCAUUUGCUGCAGGUCACACUUCUUACCAAGUGGAGGGCUCUUAAAGAGCCAAAUGUUGCUUCCUGGUUGGGUGGUCAGUGAACCAGGUAGUGGUUUGGAAAUGCAAUGGGGUGGAGACACCUGUUGGAGGAGAUUCGGAGGAGCUUUUUGGUUGUUAGAGAGGAGCUUUUUGUCAGGAGGGGGGAACGGAUUUUUCUUGGUUUGGGAUUACAUUUUUUAGAGAGGGUAGGGGACCCCCAGCUGAGAGCUUGAUGUCGUCUGCAUGAAGCGUGCAACAACAAUGAGGGUAGUUGGGCAGGCCAUACUGGCUGAUGCAUGAACAGGAGGAGGCAGGUGGUGACUUGCUAAGGAAGGUGAUUCCAAGAAGCGGAAAAGAGAGAGAAACAUAGAAAAAAAAAAUGAGGCAGAAAAAAAAGAGGGGGAAGAGGAGAGGAGAGUUUAGCUUGAGAGGACUAGUGGGAAAGAGGCAUUCCGGGGCUGGUUGCUUGAGAGGAAGGAUAGUUGUCCGAUUUCUUGCCCACCUAGCUAGAGAGAGUUAUUUUGAGUGGUUUAGUUUGCUCUGGUUUUGAUUUCUCCAUGAGAUAUUUUUGUAACUACGUUUUACUUUUCAUUUGAUACUCAUUUAAUCUUACCCACCAUCAUCUAAGCCUGUUGGUAUGAUAUGAAGCAUAGCUUGUCGGGCUCAUUUUCUUGUAUCUACUCUUUGUGCUCUAUUUUGUUAUCCUCCUCUGCUCUUGAUAUCCGUCCAUGGUACGCAUCCAUUUUCUCAUCCCUGCUUGAAGGAGAUCCUAGAAAAUCUGGAGUAGUUGUCAUGGCAGCAAAGCUCACCUCAUCAGCAUCCUCAUACCCAUUCUCGUUUAUUAUUCAUCGUUUUAUCCAACAUGCCUACGUCCCCAUCCAUCACUCCACUCCUAUUCCCGUUUAUCUUCAUCAUGUGUAAACCCCCACGCAUCUCAUACCGGGAGGUGAUGUCUCAAGAUGAUGUAGGAAGCUAAUAUUUGAAUUUGUGGAAAGAAGGGCAGAUUUAGUAGUCUCAUGGGAAUACUAUGGCAUGAGUGUGGGAUCCUCCCUAAAAAUUGCUGCGUGGCUUCCUCUCCCUGGGACACGCAGACGGCCCCUUGCGACACGUGGCAUCGCUCAUUCCACCCGGGUAUCUCACAUCCGGAAUUCUUCUCCGUCGACAUUCCACUCGGAUAUCUCACAUCCGGAAUUCUUUCCGGCCGACGUUCAACCUUCUCAGGAUAUCUCACAUCCGAAAUUCUGUCCAGCCGACGUUCAGCCUUCUUUGGAUAUCUCACAUCCGAAAUUCUGUCCGGCCGACGUUCCACCUUCUUCGAAUAUCUCACAUCCGGAAUUCUGUCCGGCCGACGUUUAACCUUCUCCGGAUAUCUCACAUCUGGAAUUUUGUUCGGCUGACGUUCCACCUUCUCCGGAUAUCUCACAUUCGAAAUUCUAUCCGGCUGACGUUCAACCUUCUCCGGAUAUCUCACAUCCGGAAUUCUGUCUGGCCGACGUUCCACAUUUUUCUUCAUCCUUAAAGCAUUUUCUUGAGGUUCCCAAGAUCUCAUUUUCAAUAAAUUUUGCCGCCAUUUUCUUCUCGGCAUGUAACUCUAACAACUUCCAUGAUUUUAAAAUGUUUUAAAAUAAGUGUGAAUUUAUUUUCGUAAUUCUUAGUGAUAGAAUUUGUGAAACUGAUUCACCCAAUAGUAAACGGGCUUUGGUGGGGGCCCCACAUAUGUGACUGAUCAAUUGAUUGACUGACUGAUUGACUUGAUUAUCAUACAUAAUUGAUUUAUCCUGCUCUUUGAUACGUAUGCUAUUGUUUCUUAAUUGAGCACUAACCUUCCUUUUUGAUAGCGCAUGGUGGCUCACUGCCUAGGUACGUACCCACUUUCACUCUGAUCAGUGUCUACGCAUGUUCUGAUUUUCACAUGUGCAUGAUUUAUUCGGGGUAUCCAUUGAUUUACUCAUCAAUUUCCACGUCAGCUUCAUUUUAUUAGUAAAGACCUAACUUUAGGGGUUUAGAGGGGUGCUACGGUCUUUACCGUACCUUCCCAAUAAGUAACCUGACCCCUGAACCCGAUCUGAUUUUUCGUAGACCAACCUUUUCCAAAACAAGGAGUCACACUUAGGGUUUUUCUUUCUUAUUUUAUUUACCCUUUAAAAAUAAAACAAAAAUAAGUGGCAACUCCAAGUCAUUUUUUUUAACCAAUUAAAUCAUUUUUCAAAAUAAAAAUCGAGCUCUCCAUCGAGUGGGAAGCACAUGAUCCGAAAUGCGGGGUCCACAAGAUGUCUUUCAAGAAGUUUUAAGAGUUGUAACACACUAAUCUUCACUUGUUAGCACAAAUACGUUUUUUAUGCUUGACAUCCAAAUUAAUUUGGAUUUUCUUUGGCUAAAAAUCGAACAAGCUAGAAUUUUUGCAUCUCUUUAAAUCUUAUAGAGACUUAGAAUAAAUAAUUUAGACUUUAAAGUUAUGUUUAGUUCUUAAAAAGCACAAAAAAGAAAAAAAUUGUUAAGAAAAAUAAUUUUGUUAUAUUUGAUUGUAUUAUGAAAAUACCAAAGAAAAUAAAAUAUAAUUAAAACUAGGUAGAAAUUCAUGCAUUUUCAUAUUAUUUAAUCUUUAUAUCCAAGAGUUAAAAUGAGUAAAAUGAGUUUAAAGUAACAUAAAAAAUAAUUUAUUGACUUUGAAGCUAGUUUUUAUUUUCUUUCACUUUUCCUUUCUUUCUGCUUUUUUUUUUUUUUUUUCUAUUUUCUUUUUCUUGCAUUUUCCCUUAAUUUUCCUCAAAACCAAACAUAGCUUAACAUUUUUGAACUUCCGAGUGAUGAUGUUCCUCGUAGAUAUGAUAUGUUAAGUUUUAGUAAAGACGUUUGGAUAAUGUUGGUCAAUGCUUAAGAUAGGGAAGAAACUUUUUUUGUUUUUAUGUUUAUUUUUUUAUAUGUGAAAGUUGGAUUUUUUUUUAUCAUGAGGAGCAAGUGAUUUGUUCACCAAUAUAAACUUAUUUUGAAUAUUAUCAAUAUAUAAAAAAAAAUUGAAAACUUAUAAAAUAAAGUUAAUACCAUUAUUAUUUAAAAAAAAAGGUAUAUAAUGAUUAGAUAAUUCAAUAAAAAGAAAAUAGAUUUUGUUGGUUUCCCCCUUUACACUAGAAUGAAAAUUCUUGAACAUGAAAAUAGAUGACUAGUACAUUAUAAUACAAAUGUUAUUUCAUUAUCUAUUAAUUUAUAGUUUAGACUUGAAUUUUUAUGUUAAAUCAUUAUUUCAAACCUUGGGCCAUGAAAAUUAUAGGUAAUUCAUUUUUUUUUUUUGAAAAAUUGGAAUGUGAACGUCAUAAUGAAUUGAUUGAGAAAUAUGAAUGAAAAAAGGAAAAAAAAAUCAUAUAAUAAGGAUAUUUAAGGAAAAUAAAGGUCUCAUCAUCACUUAAAAACAUUAAAGAAAAUAAACUUCAUUGUUGUUCUCUUUCUCUGUUUUUUUAUUAUUUUUUCAUAACUUAGAAAAUGAAAUUUACCACAAAAGCAUAGAAGAUAGGCUAUUUAUUUAUUGCUUCAACUUUAUAUUCUUUUUUUAUUGGGAAACUGAUCAUAUUAAAGACUUUCACACAUGAUUUUACUAUCCUUUUGUAUACAAAUUGACGAUUAAAAGAUUUGUUGAUAGUUAACCAUGACUACCUUAUUCUAGAACUCCAAAAGUCUUAACCACACUUUUUAAGGACAACAUCUAAACACAUAUAUUAUUGUCAUAUAAUUAUUAUUUUUUUGGAAGGUAAUCUCUACUUAGGUGCUGGUGGAUCUACAUUUACACCAAUUCUCACUAGCAACUCAAGGAUUGUUUUCCCAAGGAUUUUGUGAUGCUAAUUGGGCUACUAGUGUAGAUAGAAAAUCCAUUAGUGUUUUUUGUGUUUAUCGUAGAGGGAACUUGAUACAUUGAAGGUCAAGAAAAAAAAAGUGCUAGCAAGAUCUAGCAUAUAAUCUAAAUACUGAUCCUUGGCCAAAGUUACAAUAAGCGUUACUUGACUUUAAUCCUUGUUUAAAGAGUUAAAAAUUAAAAUUGAUGAUACUCUAAUUUUAUACUGUGAUAAUUUCAUAGUAGGUUCCUUGACUUCAAAUCCAGUGUUCCAUGUGAGGAAUGAGCAUAUGGAAAUUGAUGUGCAUUUCAUACAAGAGAAAGUCAUGCCAAAAGAGUUAAACAUGCAAUACAUUCUAAUAGAGGAGCAAAUAGUAGACUAUCUAAUCAAAUCUCUCUUAGAUGCAUGUUUUAAAAUAUUUAAAGACAAGCUCAUUGUGGUACAAUCUAUUAGAAAAUCAAGUAAAUAAGAUUUUUCAAUUCUAGUUUAACAAAACAACAUAAUUCCAUAAAUACUCAAAUAAUGCCACUAUGAGAAAGAUAAGCUUAUAUAGAUUGUUUAUGAAAUUGCAUCACUUUGUUUUGGUAUUGACACCUUAUAUCUUACCCCUUUUUACUCUCUAUAAUUCUUGCAUAAAUGAUGGGAAGCCUCACAAACUUAAGAGGAGUGGAGAAAGGCACUAAGAGCCCAUUUAUAUAAUGUCAAGUGACCUUACCCAUAAAGUGUCACAAAUGAAAACUUCCUACUAGAUUAUAUUAAUCCACCUGUUCUAAUCCUAUGUAAUAUAGAAUUUUAAUGCACAAUAAUUCCAACAUUCUCAUACUUGGGCAAAUGAUCACAUACUAACUUGAAACUUUUAUGGAUUCAAUAAGCGGUUACAUAAAAAUAAUAUCAUCACUACAUGCUUAUCGAAUGAAGUUACUGUUGGGCUUUGUGGAGCCUAGUUUUGUUUGAUCCGGUUUGACGACCUGACCCGAAUAAUAUUGCAUGACUUUUUAAUGAGAGAUUUAUUAAGGCCUGUUGGGCCCGUUUAGUCCAUUGUGGAACCACCUUUUGUAAUUAGGGUUUUUUAGUAUGGUGGGGUUGUCGUGCUAUAUAUAUAUAGAGAAUAUUGUAGCCACUAGGUUGUACUCUGUAUUCUUCCCUGAUAAUAGUGAUAUCCCUGCAACUCCGUGGACGUAGGCAAAUUGACGAACCACGUAAAUACUGUCUUGUGUGUGUGAUUGUUUUUCUUUGGCGUGUGUUUUCUCUAUUUUUUUUUGUUUCUCACGGGUUGGGAAUUCGGUUUAAUUCCCUACAACUGGUAUCAGAGCCUAGGGUUAGGUUUGAGUGGGAGCAAUGGCAGAGGAAGCAGGAAAGGCGUCUGGAAUAGAAAAGUUUGAUGGCACAUACUUUGCGUAUUGGAGAAUGCAGAUUGAAGAUUAUCUCUAUAGGAGGAAAUUGCAUCUGCCUCUUUUGGGGACAAAACCUGAGAGUAUGAAGGCUGAGGAAUGGGCGCUUCUUGACAAACAGGUUCUAGAAGUUAUUAGGUUAACUCUGUCUAGGUCUGUUGCACAUAAUGUUGUAAAGGAGAAGACCACAACAGAUUUGAUGAAGGCUUUGUCCGGUAUGUAUGAAAAGUCGUCCGCAAACAAUAAGGUGCAUCUGAUGAAGAAAUUGUUCAAUUUGAAGAUGGUAGAGAAUGCGUCAGUAGCACAACAUCUGAAUGAAUUUAAUACAAUCACAAAUCAAUUGUCGUCUGUAGAAAUUGAUUUUGAUAAUGAGAUUCGUGCUCUGAUCGUCUUGGCUUCUUUGCCAAACAGUUGAGAGGCAAUGAGGAUGGUAGUAAGCAAUUCUACGGGAAAGGAAAAGCUCAAGUACAAUGAUAUACGAGAUUUAAUUCUGGUUGAGGAGAUUCGCCGAAGAGAUGCAGGUGAAACCUCAAGAUCUGGUUCUGCCCUAAACCUUAAGACAAGAGGCAAAGGUAAUGACAGAAAUUGAAAUCGGGGUAGAUCAAAUUCCAGAAAUUCUAAUCGGAACAGAAGCAAAUCUAGAUCAGGCUAACAAGUACAAUGCUGGAAUUGUGGGAAAACAGGUCACUUUAAAAGGCAAUGCAAAAACCCUAAGAAGAAAAAUGAAGAUGAUUCUGCUAAUGCUGUAACAGAAGAGGUACAAGAUGCAUUACUUCUUACAGUAGACAGUCCACUUGAUGAUUGGGUUUUGGAUUCAGGAACUUCGUUUCAUACCAUUCCACACCGAGAAAUCAUACAGAAUUAUAUUGCAGGUGAUUUUGGUAAGGUGUAUUUGGCUGAUGGUUCAGCCUUGGAUGUUGUGGGUCUGGGAGACGUCCGAAUAUCGUUGCCCAAUGGGUCUGUUUGGUUACUGGAGAAGGUUCGACAUAUUCCUGACCUGAGGAGGAAUCUGAUUUCUAUUGGACAACUUGAUGAUGAAGGACAUGCAAUACUAUUUGUUGGUGGUACUUGGAAGGUUACAAAGGGAGCUAGGGUAUUGGCUCGUGGAAAGAAGACUGGUACUCUGUAUAUGACCUCAUGUCCAAGAGACACAAUUGCAGUUGCUGAUGCAAGUAUUGAUACAAGCAUAUGGCACCGUAGACUUGGUCACAUGAGUGAGAAAGGGAUGAAGAUGUUGUUGUCAAAAGGAAAACUACCAGAAUUGAAGUCCAUUGAUUUUGACAUGUGUGAAAGUUGCAUCUUAGGAAAGCAAAAAAAGGUGAGCUUCUUGAAAACUGGUAGGACACCGAAGGCUGAAAAAUUGGAAUUAGUACACACUGAUUUGUGGGGGCCUUCUCCGGUUGCAUCCUUAGGAGGUUCAAGGUACUACAUCACUUUUAUUGAUGACUCAAGUAGAAAGGUAUGGGUUUAUUUUCUGAAAAAUAAAUCUAAUGUAUUUGAAACUUUUAAGAAGUGGAAGGCCAUGGUAGAGACAGAAACAGAUUUGAAAAUAAAAUGUUUAAGGUCAGAUAAUGGAGGAGAGUACAUAGAUGGAGGGUUCAGUGAGUAUUGUGCUGCAUAGGGAAUUAGGAUGGAGAAGACCAUUCCUAGGACACCACAGCAGAAUGGUGUGACUAAGCGCAUGAACAGAACUCUCAAUGAGCGUGCUAGAAGUAUGAUGUUGCAUGCUGGACUACCAAAAACUUUUUGGGUUGAUGCUGUUAGCACUGCAGCUUACCUAAUAAACCGAGGACCAUCAGUUCCCAUCGAGUUCAGACUUCCUGAGGAGGUUUGGAGCGGUAAAGAGGUGAAGUUUUCACAUUUAAAAGUUUUUUGUUGUGUUUCUUAUGUUCAUAUUGAUUCUGAUGCUCGUAGUAAACUUGAUGCAAAGUCAAAAAUAUGUUUUUUCAUUGGCUAUGGUAAUGAGAAAUUUGGCUAUAGGUUUUGGGAUGAACAAAACAGGAAAAUCAUCAAAAGUAGAAAUGUGAUAUUUAAUGAACAGGUUAUGUACAAGGACAGGUCAACUGUAGUGUCAGAUGUUAUAGAGAUAGAUCAAAAGAAAUCUGAGUUUGUCAACUUAGAUGAAUUGACUGAAAGUACUGUCCAAAAAGGGGGUGAAGGAGAUAAGGAGAAUGUAAAUUUACAGGUAGAUUUGAGUACACCUGUAGCUGAAGUUCGCAGAUCUUCCAAGAACAUUAGACCUCCGCAACGUUAUUCACCUGUUUUAAAUUAUCUCCUGUUGACUGAUGGUGGUGAGCCAGAGUGUUAUGAUGAAGCCUUGCAAGAUGAGAAUUCAAGCAAGUGGGAGUUAGCCAUGAAGGAUGAGAUAGAUUCCCUAUUGGGGAAUCAGACAUGGGAACUGACUGAAUUGCCAGUAGGAAAGAAGGCUUUGCAUAACAAGUGGGUAUACAGAAUAAAGAAUGAACAUGAUGGUAGCAAACGUUACAAGGCCAGAUUAGUUGUUAAAGGGUUCCAACAGAAGGAGGGCAUUGACUACACAGAGAUAUUUUCUCCAGUUGUGAAGAUAUCAACAAUUAGACUUGUACUUGGAAUGGUGGCUACAGAAAACUUACAUCUUGAGCAGUUAGAUGUGAAGACAGCAUUCCUUCAUGGUGACUUGGAGGAAGACCUUUACAUGAUUCAGCUAGAAGGGUUCAUUGUUCAGGGACAAGAGAAUCUAGUCUGCAAACUGAGAAAGAGCUUGUAUGACCUUAAACAAGCUCCUAGACAGUGGUACAAGAAGUUUGACAAUUUUAUGAUAGAAUUGGGUUCAAGAAAUGUGAAGCUGAUUACUGUUGCUAUUUUAAGUCCUUUGACAAUUCUUACAUCAUAUUACUAUUGUAUGUGGAUGAUAUGCUUAUUGCAGGGUCUGACAUUGAGAAGAUUAAUAAUCUUUGCAGGGUUUGACAUUGAGAAGAUUAAUAAUCUGAAGAAGCAAUUGUCCAAACAGUUUGCAAUGAAGGAUUUGGGAGCUGCAAAGCAAAUCCUUGGUAUGAGAAUCAUUAGAGACAAGGCUAAUGGUACAUUGAAGCUUUCACAAUCAGAGUAUGUGAAGAAAGUUCUCAACAGGUUCAACAUGCAUAAAGCUAAACCAGUGAGCACACCCUUGGGUAGUCAUUUCAAACUAAGCAAAGAACAGUCAUUGAAGACAGAAGAAGAAAGGGACCAUAUGAGCAAGGUGCCCUAUGCCUCAGCUAUUGGUAGCUUGAUGUAUGCUAUGGUGUGUACAAGGCCAGACAUUGCACAUGCAGUGGAAGUUGUGAGCAAAUUCAUGAGUAGGCCUGGAAAGCAGCAUUGGGAGGCAGUCAAGUAGAUUUUAAGAUAUCUAAAGGGUUCAUUAGAUACAUGUCUUUGCUUCACAGGUGCAAGUUUGAAACUGCAGGGUUAUGCAGAUGCUGAUUUUGCUGGUGAUAUUGAUAGUAGAAAGAGUACUACUGGGUUUGUUUUUACUCUAGGUGGUACAACUAUAUCAUGGACUUCAAAUCUAUAGAAGAUUGUUACUUUGUCUACUACAGAAGCUGAGUAUGUUGCAACAACUGAAAUUGGAAAGGAGAUGAUUUGGUUACAUGGUUUCUUAGAUGAAUUAGGUAAGAAGCAGGAGAUGGGCAUUCUACACAGUGACAGUCAGAGUGCAAUUUUUUUUGCCAAAAAUUCGGCUUUUCAUUCAAAGUCGAAACAUAUACAAACAAAAUACCACUUUAUCCGUUAUCUUGUUGAGGAUAAACUGGUAAUACUUGAGAAGAUUUGUGGAUCUAAGAACCCUGCAAACAUGUUGACUAAGGGUGUCACUAUUGAGAAGUUGAAGUUGUGCGCAGCUUCAAUUGGUCUUCUAGCUUGAGGACAGGAGGAUGAGUUGUAGGGAUGAGGGAUUGUUUCUUGGAGGAUAGCGGUUUGAUGUUGGUGAUUGGACUAGUCUCCAAGUGGGAGAUUUGUUGGGCUUUGUGGAGCCUAGUUUUGUUUGAUCCAGUUUGAUGAUCCGACCCGAAUAAUAUUGCAUGGCUUUUUAAUGGGAGAUUUAUUAAGGCCUAUUGGGCCCGUUUAGCCCAUUGUGGAACCACCUUUUGUAAUUAGGGUUUUUUAGUAUGGUGGGGUUGCCGUGUUAUAUAUAUAUAAAGAAUAUAGUAGCCGCUAGGUUGUACUCUGUAUUCUUCCCUGAUAAUAGUGAUAUCCCUGCAACUCCGUGGACAUAGGCAAAUUGCCGAACCACGUAAAUACUGUCUUUUGUGUGUGAUUGUUUUUCUUUGGUGUGUGUUUUAUCUAUUUUUUUGUUUCUCACGGGUUGGGAAUUCGGUUUAAUUCCCUACAGUUACCAAUAUGGAUCAUGAUGGUAACAUAUCAUUUUAUCAAAUAUAAUUCAUUCCAUGCAUCACACAACCGGUAACUCAAUAUAGAUAGCCUAAAUGAGGAAGUAAUAACCUACAAAUAUCCAUUAGAUGAUCCUGACCUUUAUUUCAAAAAUUUGACAAUCCUAUUAACUAUUAUCUUAUAAAAUGUGCACAAGGGAGUAUGAAAUUAUAUUAUUGUAUGUUUAAAACAAUUAUAUAACAUCCCCUUAGAGUGAAUAUGUUUCCUUAAACUUAGGCACCAAAGCUUUUGUAAAAGGAUCUACUAUCAUCAUGUUUGUACCAAUGUGUUCGAUGGACACCUUUUGAAAUUAGACUAUUUCUUUAACCACAUGAUGUUUCAAUUUAAUAUGUUUUGAUUUACCAUAUCAUUUACUCUCAAAAAAGAAAACUAUUGAAAAAUUAUUGCGGCAUGCCUUAAUUGUCUUAGAGAUGCCAUAAUUUUGAGCCCUAAAAUAGUGUCAUAGCUAAGUAACUUGUGAAGUUGCUUAAUGACUUGCAAUAACUUCAAUUGCCAUUAUGGAAGAAGCAUUGAUAGUAUUGGUUCUAACAUGAUAAUUUAGUACAACCUUAUUGUAUGGAAAGUAGACUUUAGAGUUUGAUCAUGUUACCAAAGCAUAACUAUCCUCGAGGAAAAUAGAAGUUAUGGGCAUGUAAAUUCUAUACCUAGUAUGUAAGGAUGUGAGAGAUUGUUGGAAACACUUGGUAGAGUAAAUACUUACGAUGAAGUAGAUAAAAUUAGUAGGAAAAAUAUAGGAUGUUUCAAAAUUCAGUAAUUAUAUAAUUUUUUUAAUUCUUAUUAUCAUUGUCAUUUACAAUAUUCUUUAUGAUACUAACCAAAAUCAGUUUUUCUCAUUUAUACAUGUAGGCAUGAUUAGUUGAGCUAUGUUAGAAUUACAUAUACCUUUGUGUUCAUGAUUUUGUCUCUGUUUUCUUACACUCAUACAUAGCAAGUUAGUUAUAAGAGUAUUUUUUCAGUAUAACAAGUGAUAUCACAGUUUCUUCAAGUACAACACUUCACAAUAAUAACAUUUAAAAUAUUGUUCAUUGGUCAUAAAAGAAAUGGAUGGAAUCCCUAUAUAAUUUAGCAGAUUUAAUAGAGACCUAUGUCCAUUAUGAAAAAACCCAAAGCAUUGAAAUUUCGAAUUUAGGAAUCUAAAAUCCACAAAAAUAUAAAAAAUUGUAUAUGGAAUUAAUCAUGAAUAGGGUUGAAAUCAAUUCAAGUUGUAAAAUGAAUAAAUUGAAAUCUUCAUUAUGCCUUUGUUAUUUUUUUAACUUAAAUUAUUACUUUUAUAAUUUUAAUUUUUAAUCUAUUACUUUUUAUAUAUUAAAAAAACAUCAACACUUUUUAGCUUUCCAUUUGUUUUUAUUAUAAUUUAAAAUUACAUGCACAUAAAAAAAACCAUAUAUUUUUAUUAUAAUUUUUUAAAAGUAAACAUAAAUUAUUUUUUAAAACUGUUUUUUGUUGUAAAAAAAAAAAAAAAAAACACACACACACACUUUAUAAUAAAAAACAAAAAACAAAAAUUUUGUUCUUAAAUAUAGAAAAAUAAUGUGUCUUGAAAUAACAUCUUUUAGUUGUUAGUUUUUUUGGGGUGUUUUAAAAAUAAUUUAUAUAAAUAUGGUGAAUAAUUAAAAAUAAUCAAAGUAUGAUAUAAUUUUUAAAAAUAUAGAAAACGAAUUAAGAAUAUUUAAGCUCUUAAACAAACUCUUGUUUUAUAAGAUAUUAAAUAUUAAUUUUCAAAAAUUAUUUUCGAAAACGCUUUCCUAUUAGAGUUUCAAUUUCUUUCAUCUAUAUAUAUAUAUAUUAAUGAUAUGAGAUUGUUCAUUGUAUGUGCUUUUAAUUUAACUUCAAUAUAUAAAGUUAUGAAAAUUUUGUUAUUUAUAUAAUUCAUUUGUUUGCACAAAUUAUAUAAUAAGUUUAUGACUACUUAUUACUUAUUUUAAUUAAAUUAGUUCGUACUUUGAUUUGACUAAUAAAAAAAAUGAAUGAUUGGUAUUUAAAUAAUUUAUAUUUAAGAAUACUUAUGUUUUAAGGCUUUCAAUAAUAUGUUUAUUAUAUUUUAAACAAAAGUCUAUUUGAAAAUUUAGAAUAUUUUUAAUAUGUUUAUUAUAUUUUAAAAAUAAAUUUUAUUUAUAGUGUUUUAUUUUUAAUCAUUCUUUAUGUUUUUAGUAUUUUUUUUUAAAACAUUCCUUAAAAAAAACAAGUGAAAAUAAUUAAAUAUGUUUUAAAAAAAACACCACAUUUUUUGUUUUCCAAUUGUUGUACAUGUUUUCAUUCUCACUAAAAUAACAAGAUUAAAAUGGAUGCAUAACAAUUCAUUCUCACUAAGAAAAAUAAAAAUUUAAAAUGUUUUUUUUUUUUUUAAUGUAGAUGAUUUUGAUACAUAUUUGACAAUACCUUUGAAUAUAUUAGAUUUGUAGGUGUUUUUAGGUGGGAUACAUUCACUUUCUACUAAUACAUUAAUUUAAUAAGUAUAUGUUUCUUUAUCAACUUUUAAAUAAAUAAAUUUUAGUAUCAUUCUCUUCAAUUUAUUAUCUCUACUUAUAUCAUUCCAAUUUCUAUAAAUAAUAAAUAUGCCCUCACCUUUCAAAUCAUAACAAAUCUCUCUCUAAUUCAACACUUCAAUUCUUCAAAUUUUAGACUAAGUCAAAGUAACUGAUUCAAACUUGGCAUCCUCAUCAGUCCAUGACUUCGCCAUCCAUAUCUAUCCAAUGGAUAUGAGCAAUCUUGCGCCAUUCUUUCCCUUUAUCCCUUUGGCACCGUUUUUUCAGCACAGGACAUCCAUAAAUCUGGAGAGCAGUGAGGGAGGAGGGCAGCCCCUGUUUCGGAAAGGACUUUAACUUAACGCAGUUACGCAUCUCGAGUAUUUCGAGAGAUGUGAGGUUUUGAAGCCCCAGAUUGUCCAGGUAUUUCAGAUCUGGAAAGUCAAAAAUACUGAAAGAAAAGAGAGUGGAGGGCAGCAGCAGCCACUCCUCGGAAAAUGACUCCAACCCUCCUGUACCUCCAUCGAUAACCAAUCCUCUAAGGGAGGGAAGUGUUUGUAAGCCCCAUUCCUUCCGAGAUUCCAUAAGCUUGUAGCAAGACCCGAUGUCAAGUGAAGAUAGAUUAGUCGGCAAACCCCCUUCCGGAAAUGAAACAAUUUCGGAACAAUCAUAUAUAUCCAAAUCUUCAAGCGAGGUAAGGAGGGUGUGCAUCCGUUGGGGUAGUGACUUGAGCUUCUUGCAAUUGUCGAUACAAAGGUCUCUCAGGUUGGAAGCUGGCAAUCCUCCUUGUGGAAAAGACACCAAAUUCGGGCAAUUCCAGAUGUGGAUUCUUUGGAGAGAUGUGAGAUCCAUGUUGUGAAGUCCAUCUGGAAUGUAAAAGGACUCCAGAUUUGUACAAUCCCCGAUAUAGAGUGUCUCAAGCUUUGUGAAGAAGGCUAAUGGAAAGGACGUAAGAGAAUCACAACUUCUCCUUAUACGAAAAUAGGUAAGCCAAGGGUAGUAGUUUUGCGUGGUCUCCUCAGGAAUGGGUAACUCUACUUUCCGACACUGCUUGAUUUCAAGUGAUUUCAAUGAAGAGAUGAUGGGCAAAGACGUAAGAGAAUCACAAUCUUCUAUGUACAACCUCUGGAGACUGAUAUUAUUUUGAGUCAUUCCCUCUGGUAGGGUCUCUAGAAUGUGGCACUUUUCUAUUCGAAGGGUUUCAAGCAUGGGGGGUAGCCCCAUCUCUGGAAGAGAGGAAAGACUCUGACAUUCCUUGAUAACCAAGUUCCGGAGAGAUGUGAGCUUAAGCAAAAUCGCUGGCAAUUCCACUUGUAUGGAACAAAUAUUACUCACUUCCAACUCAUUUAUUGAAGGCAGGUGGACAACACUUCUCAACACUACCUCAUCACAUUCUUUUAAAUUCAGUUUUUGAAUGGACGGUGCCUCUGGAAGCUGACACACCAAUUGCCCACAUUCUAAAAUUACCAGACUUGUUAAAACAGGAAGGUGCUUGGGCAAAUCCCCUUUCAGCUUUGGACAACUCUCAAUACGGAGUUCAUUGAGACGAGGGAACUCCCCCCCUUCGGCUCGAAAACAAUCCCAUUCCUCCCACUCUGACAUCUCCUUGAACACCAGAGUCUGCAGACUUCCAAAUGGCUUAAAUGAAGAAGGCCCAUUCCCAUAAAACUCCUGCCCCACCUUUUGCAGAACAUCAUUCUUCACAAUGGAGAGGUUCUGGAGAGAUCGUAGCUGUCCAAGCGGUGGCAAGGAUGCACAAUUUUUACAGUUAGAGAGUUGUAGACGCAUCAUGUUGAUGAAUGAAG